rnacentral:rRNA from 1 species
CCAGACUCCUACGGGAGGCAGCAGUGAGGAAUAUUGGUCAAUGGUCGGGAGACUGAACCAGCCAAGCCGCGUGAGGGAGGAAGGUACAGAGUAUCGUAAACCUCUUUUGUCAGGGAACAAAGGCGGGGACGUGUCCCCGGAUGAGUGUACCUGAAGAAAAAGCAUCGGCUAACUCCGUGCCAGCAGCCGCGGUAAUACGGAGGAUGCGAGCGUUAUCCGGAUUUAUUGGGUUUAAAGGGUGCGUAGGCGGAUUUUUAAGUCAGCGGUAAAAUGUCCGGGCUCAACCCGGGCCGGCCGUUGAAACUGGGGAUCUUGAGUGGGCGAGAAGUAUGCGGAAUGCGUGGUGUAGCGGUGAAAUGCAUAGAUAUCGCGCAGAACUCCGAUUGCGAAGGCAGCAUGCCGGCUCCACACUGACGCUGAGGCACGAAAGCGUGGGUAUCGAACAGGAUUAGAUACCCCUGUA